UCAAAACUCUUAACUUAGGACUGGUGCCCUCUAGUUGCUCAAAGUGUUAGAUAGUAUUAUUUAUGGGUUACUUUCUAUGAUUCUACCUCACACCAUUUGAGAUACUACUCAUGUUCUUUUAUCAGCACAUUAAAAAUCAGCACAGCGUCUGUUUGGCACUGUGGGGCAUGCCUGCUAGAUAAUCGGGUAGAUUCCCUUGUAAGUGUGGACGGAAGAAUAGCUAAUGUGUCCGACCAAAAGUCUAACAAAAGGAGGGGGAAAUUAGGGAAGACUGGGGAGGUGGACAGGGCAUUGUCUGAGAUGGACAGGCAACAGAAAGCAAUCAAGGGAGAAUAUUUCCAGCCACUUCCAAGCAAAUGCUUCUGCCUCCACAGCCUUGGGCCGGAUCGAGUCCUGCCUUAGAGCGAGGACUGUCGUCCUUUAACCUAUUACAUAGCUGCACAGCAGCUUAGACAUGUGUGCAUAACAUACGAAACCUUCUACUAGUUCACAUCCCCCUUGAUCUGUUAGUUCUACUUCUAGGAAUUUAUCCUGUAGAAACAAAAAUCCAAAAGUUUUAUAUCCAAGUAUGUGGAUUGUAUCAUGCUGUUGCUUGCCUUUGGGUUACAUAGAAGCGAAAACCAAAUGUCUAAGAGGGGAUCGAGUAGGAAAAUUCCAGUACACUCAUACAGUGAAAUACUAUAAAGAAUUGUGGAAGAAUAUGCAAAUAAUAUAUCAAAUUGUUAGGUUAAUAAAAGUAGUUUC